GUGGCACAGUAUCGAGGCGGACCUGUCUGUUCCUUGCGACUACCUCGAAACGUCCUGUAAAGGCGAUAUGAAAAUUGAAUAGCUCCAUUUUCUUUUUUUUCUUUUCUUUUAUAUUUUUCUUCUUUCUUUUCUUUAUAUAUUUUUAUAGUUAACACUGGGACGUUUUCGAAACGCCGCAGACUCGUCUUUCCUACCGUCCGUUAUCGAGCUACGAGGUUUAAAAUUCCACGUGCCGAGUCAAACACCAACUCGGAAAGAGUCAACAUUCAAACACUAACUCGAAAAGAGUCAAACACUAACUCGAAAAGAGUCAAACACCAACUCGAAAAGAGUCAAACACCAACUCGGAAAGAGUCAACAUUCAAACACUAACUCGAAAAGAGUCAAACACUAACUCGAAAAGAGUCAAACACCAACUCGGAAAGAGUCAAACACCAACUCGGAAAGAGUCAAACACCAACUCGGAAAGAGUCAAACACCAACUCGGAAAGAGUCAACAUUCAAACACCAACUCGAAAAGAGUCAACAUUCAAACACUAACUCGAAAAGAGUCAAACACCAACUCGGAAAGAGUCAAACACCAACUCGGAAAGAGUCAACAUUCAAACACCAACUCGAAAAGAUUAACAGUCAAACACCAACUUGAAAAGAGUCAAACACCAACUCGGAAAGAGCCAAACACCAACUCGGAAAGAGUCAAAACUUAGUCGCCACUAGACAGGUUCCUAAUACCUACGAGUCGAACACUUUGAACCUGAUUGUAAAAGACAUUACAAUUCGACAUCGUAGUCUAACCCACGAGUAUCUCCGAACAUUUAUAUAAUCAGUGAAAUCAGUUGUUGGAAAUAAAAUAUAUAUUAUACCUUGUUAACCGCAGUGUUAUACUAACUCAACCACCCCUAUUAUUCCAACAGAAAUAAGAGGAUCGAUCUGUUCGUGGCAUCGAUUAUUAUAAUCGUAACGGGAAUUUACGUUGACGCAUUUCCUCGCGAUCGUGUCUCUCCACGACUGAUCGACUAAACAUCAUUUAAUGACAAAAUCCGCGAUCACUUAGUUGCCAAUCCAAUAGAAUCAAGUUGAAACGAAACGACAGUUUGUUUUAUUUCUUAAUUUUUUCACCGCGAUUAUUCAGUUGCAAUUUAAGCAACAAAUUGUAAUUACUCUUUACGCAUGACGAGUAUACUCGUGAAAAAAGCCUAACUGGUUAAGUAGCAUGGGAAGAAAGCAG
rnacentral:misc_RNA from 1 species